AUUGAACGCUGGCGGCCUGCCUUACACAUGCCAGUCGACCGGCAGCACGGGGGCAACCCUGGUGGCGAGUGGCGAACGGGUGAGUAAUGCAUCGGAACGUGCCCAGUCGUGGGGGAUAACCAGUCGAAAGACUGGCUAAUACCGCAUAAGACCGAAGGGUGAAAGAGGGGGACCGUAAGGCCUGGCGCUAUUUGCGCGGGCGAUGUCUGACUAGCUAGUUGGCGGGGUAAGAGCCCACCAAGGCGACGAUCAGUAGCGGGUCUGAGAGGCCGACCAGCCACACUGGGACUGAGACACGGCCCAGACUCCUACGGGAGGCAGCAGUGGGGAAUUUUGGACAAUGGGCGCAAGCCUGAUCCAGCCAUGCGGCGUGCGGGAAGAAGGCCUUCGGGUUGGAAACCGCUUUUGGCAGGAACGAAACGGCGCAGGCCAAUACCUUGCGCUACUGACGGUACCUGCAGAAUAAGCACCGGCUAACUACGUGCCAGCAGCCGCCGUAACAC
rnacentral:rRNA from 1 species